GCUUAGGGAAACCGAUAAGUAUCCCACCUGGGGAGUACGCCGGCAACGGUGAAACUCAAAGGAAUUGACGGGGGCCCGCACAAGUGGUGGAGCAUGUGGUUUAAUUCGAUGAUACGCGAGGAACCUUACCUAGGCUAGAAUGCGCGUGACCGGCUCAGAGAUGAGUUUUUCCUUCGGGACACAAAGCAAGGUGCUGCAUGGCCGUCGUCAGCUCGUGCCGUGAGGUGUUGGGUUAAGUCCCGCAACGAGCGCAACCCCUAUGGUUAGUUGCCAGCACGUAAUGGUGGGGACUCUAGCCAGACUGCCUGCGCAAGCAGUGAGGAAGGCGGGGACGACGUCAGGUCAUCAUGGCCCUUACGCCUAGGGCGACACACGUGCUACAAUGGACGGUACAGCGGGUAGCUACCAGGCGACUGGAUGCCAAUCUCGAAAAGCCGUUCUCAGUUCGGAUUGGAGUCUGCAACUCGACUCCAUGAAGCUGGAAUCACUAGUAAUCGCGCAUCAGCCAUGGCGCGGUGAAUACGUUCCCGGGCCUUGUACACGCCGCCCGUCAAGCCAUGAAAGUCUGGUAGACCUGAAGCUGGUGCUCGUCACAGAAGCCAGUUAGGGUAGGACAGGUAAUUAGGGCU
rnacentral:rRNA from 1 species